GACGGAGGAUGCAAGUGUUAUCCGGAAUCACUGGGCGUAAAGCGUCUGUAGGUGGUUUAAAAAGUCUACUGUUAAAAAUUGAAGCUUAACUUCAAAGAUGCCGUAGAAACUUUUAAACUUGAGGAUGGUAGGGGUAGAGGGAAUUUCCAGUGGAGCGGUGAAAUGCAUAGAUCUUGGAAAGACCACCAAUGGCGAAGGCACUCUACUGGGCCAUGACUGACACUAAGAGACGAAAGCUAGGGGAGCAAAUGGG
rnacentral:rRNA from 1 species